AGACUUUUGAUAAUUGAAAUACAGAACCCCUUUGUUCAGCUGUGUGCUAACAAAUCCAGAGAGUGAUCUCUACCCCUUUGCUCUUGUGAUUUCCUCGCGGGAUUACAUAGGUGGCGGCGCCAUCUGCUCCCAAUUGGUGCUCCUACUCCCUUCAAGGUAUUCCUUGAUUGAUUGUAGGCUAUGUUGGUUGGUUUCUUGAGAGUGUGGUUGGGCGAAUCCUCGAUUCAGGUUGCCGGUUAAAGACGGUGGUUGGCUUCGAGUUUUAUUUAACAGGUUGCACUAGUUAUCGCUGCUUGCAGCAAGUUAUUCGGCUGUUCUUCAGCUAGUUAUCGGUGUGCAUCCUAUGUCGUGAAGAUCAGGAUAACGUGACGCUUCAUCUGGUAUCAAAGCUUUUGUUACCACGGUAGGAAUUUUAUCCCUAGCUACAUAUAUAUUUUUGCUUGGUCCUAUCCACCAAAAAGCCAGAAAAAUAUAUUGCUUAGACCUUUCUUUCAAUCUGUUAUUUUAGUGAGUUUGGUUAAGUCGCAGUCCAUUAGAGUCUUUGUUUUAGUUGCUGAUCAUUUAUCCUUCGCGUGUUCUUUGUGCCUCUUUUAUAUCUAAAAGUCCCCACAAAAAAAUCUCUAUAGCCUAUAUCAUCCUUUGUGUUAACUUUGAUCCUAUCUAGCUUCUGGUAGUUGUUUUAUUUCAGUCUUUAGUUGUGCAAGUGUCAAUCUGAUCCUGUGUUUAGUUCUAUAUAAAAAAAAAGUGUGUCAAAAAAGAAGAAAAGAAAGUGCAAAAAAAAGUGAAGUGAAAAAAAAAGUUGAGAAAGGUUCAGAGAGAAAGUCUGAAAGAUUAGUUGGUUUACGUGCACAAGUGCUGAAAGUUUCAUAUCAAGUUCUGCAGGCAGUUUGCUAUCUUUGUUUGGUGCAAAACUUUGGUUGGGUCUGAUUGCAACACUUGCAUCCCAAUCAUACUCCUUGUUUGCAUCAAAUCUGAAAUUUCUUUGCGUGUGUGUGAUCUAUUUAUACACUUCAAAUCUUUUGAUCAGCACUAGGCAGAGAACUUCUAGUUUGGAUCGUUACUUAACUUUACAACAACUAGAAUUCAGAUUACAUUCCUUUUGUAUUACUCCCCACCAAGCUCCACAUAAAAACCAUCAUAAUCGGUACUCUCUGUUCUUGUAUUCGCCUCGCCAUCAUUUUCAGUUGGCACCACACAUUUGUUUUCCUUGUAAUCUACAGCAGAAGAAUUCAUAAGAGCUUUGGUGGUUAGAGAGGUGAGUUGUAAGGUACAUGAGCACUUGUUGGAAAGCUUGACGAGUCUACUUUCCAUUGAUUCUAGUGGCGACCAGUUUGGAUACUCCAUAUUGCCUGCAGACAAGAAUUAGUACAGACUGCUCAGAAGGUCAACAGUCUGUCGUGACAGAAUGUUGGUACAACUUGCCAAGUAAAACUGUACCAAUCUACAAUGUUUCGUGUUGGUUGGCAUACAUUGCUGGAAAGCCCUUUGAGUCUAGUUUCACACCCAAGAAACAGUUCAUCAUUUCGACUUCCAAUAAAAAGUUAUGGUCAGUUUAUUGGAAACUGCUCUGGAGGCCA
rnacentral:lncRNA from 1 species